rnacentral:rRNA from 1 species
GUACAAUGGUCGGUACAGAGGGUUGCCAAGCCGCGAGGUGGAGCCAAUCCCAGAAAGCCGAUCGUAGUCCGGAUUGUUCUCUGCAACUCGAGAGCAUGAAGUCGGAAUCGCUAGUAAUCGCAGGUCAGCAUACUGCGGUGAAUACGUUCCCGGGUCUU